rnacentral:rRNA from 1 species
UUAUUUGAGAGUUUGAUCCUGGCUCAGGAUGAACGCUGGCGGCGUGCCUAAUACAUGCAAGUCGAGCGAAUGGAUUAAGAGCUUGCUCUUAUGAAGUUAGCGGCGGACGGGUGAGUAACACGUGGGUAACCUGCCCAUAAGACUGGGAUAACUCCGGGAAACCGGGGCUAAUACCGGAUAACAUUUUGAACCGCAUGGUUCGAAAUUGAAAGGCGGCUUCGGCUGUCACUUAUGGAUGGACCCGCGUCGCAUUA